rnacentral:rRNA from 1 species
AGAGUUUGAUCCUGGCUCAGGAUGAACGCUAGCGGCAGGCUUAACACAUGCAAGUCGAGGGGCAGCGGGGAGGAAGCUUGCUUUCUCCGCCGGCGACCGGCGCACGGGUGAGUAACACGUAUGCAACCUGCCCCUGUCAGGGGGACAACCCGCCGAAAGGCGGGCUAAACCCGCGUACAUGCCACCGGGGCAUCCCGGAGGCAGGAAAGGCUUCGGCCGGACAGGGAUGGGCAUGCGGCGCAUUAGGCAGUAGGCGGGGUAACGGCCCACCUAACCGACGAUGCGUAGGGGUUCUGAGAGGAAGGUCCCCCACACUGGUACUGAGACACGGACCAGACUCCUACGGGAGGCAGCAGUGAGGAAUAUUGGUCAAUGGUCGGGAGACUGAACCAGCCAAGCCGCGUGAGGGAGGAAGGUACAGAGUAUCGUAAACCUCUUUUGUCAGGGAACAAAGACUGGGACGCGUCCCCGGAUGAGUGUACCUGAAGAAAAAGCAUCGGCUAACUCCGUGCCAGCAGCCGCGGUAAUACGGAGGAUGCGAGCGUUAUCCGGAUUUAUUGGGUUUAAAGGGUGCGCAGGCGGUCUGUUAAGUCAGCGGUCAAAGCCCGGGGCUCAACCCCGGCCCGCCGUUGAAACUGGCAGUCUCGAGUUGGAGAGAAGUAUGCGGAAUGCGCGGUGUAGCGGUGAAAUGCAUAGAUAUCGCGCAGAACUCCGAUUGCGAAGGCAGCAUGCCGGCUCCACACUGACGCUGAGGCACGAAAGCGUGGGGUAUCGAACAGGAUUAGAUACCCUGGUAGUCCACGCAGUAAACGAUGAAUGCUGGCUGUCCGGGGGGACUGACCCCUGGGUGGCGAAGCGAAAGCGAUAAGCAUUCCACCUGGGGAGUACGCCGGCAACGGUGAAACUCAAAGGAAUUGACGGGGGCCCGCACAAGCGGAGGAACAUGUGGUUUAAUUCGAUGAUACGCGAGGAACCUUACCCGGGCUCAAACGGGGAGUGCCGCAGGCAGAGACGCCUGUUUCCCACGGGACACUCCCCGAGGUGCUGCAUGGUUGUCGUCAGCUCGUGCCGUGAGGUGUCGGCUUAAGUGCCAUAACGAGCGCAACCCCCGCGUGCAGUUGCUAACAGAUAACGCUGAGGACUCUGCACGGACUGCCGGCGCAAGCCGCGAGGAAGGCGGGGAUGACGUCAAAUCAGCACGGCCCUUACGUCCGGGGCGACACACGUGUUACAAUGGGUGGUACAGCGGGAAGCCAGGCGGCGUCGCCGAGCGGAACCCGAAAUCCACUCUCAGUUCGGAUCGGAGUCUGCAACCCGACUCCGUGAAGCUGGAUUCGCUAGUAAUCGCGCAUCAGCCAUGGCGCGGUGAAUACGUUCCCGGGCCUUGUACACACCGCCCGUCA